UGGCGAAGGCAGGUCUCUGGGCUGUAACUGACGCUGAGGAGCGAAAGCAUGGGGAGCGAACAGGAUUAGAUACCCUGGUAGUCCAUGCCGUAAACGUUGGGCACUAGGUGUGGGGGACAUUCCACGUUUUCCGCGCCGUAGCUAACGCAUUAAGUGCCCCGCCUGGGGAGUACGGCCGCAAGGCUAAAACUCAAAGGAAUUGACGGGGGCCCGCACAAGCGGCGGAGCAUGCGGAUUAAUUCGAUGCAACGCGAAGAACCUUACCAAGGCUUGACAUGAACCGGAAAGACCUGGAAACAGGUGCCCCGCUUGCGGUCGGUUUACAGGUGGUGCAUGGUUGUCGUCAGCUCGUGUCGUGAGAUGUUGGGUUAAGUCCCGCAACGAGCGCAACCCUCGUUCUAUGUUGCCAGCGCGUUAUGGCGGGGACUCAUAGGAGACUGCCGGGGUCAACUCGGAGGAAGGUGGGGACGACGUCAAAUCAUCAUGCCCCUUAUGUCUUGGGCUUCACGCAUGCUACAAUGGCCGGUACAAAGGGUUGCGAUACUGUGAGGUGGAGCUAAUCCCAAAAAGCCGGUCUCAGUUCGGAUUGGGGUCUGCAACUCGACCCCAUGAAGUCGGAGUCGCUAGUAAUCGCAGAUCAGCAACGCUGCGGUGAAUACGUUCCCGGGCCUUGUACACACCGCCCGUCAAGUCACGAAAGUUGGUAACACCCGAAGCGGUGGCCUAACCUUGUGGGGG
rnacentral:rRNA from 1 species